rnacentral:miRNA from 1 species
CCUCUCUAUCCCUUUUCACGUUA